rnacentral:rRNA from 1 species
GUCCACGCCGUAAACGAUGAGUACUAGGUGUAGGGGGUAUCGACCCCCUCUGUGCCGAAGCUAACGCGAUAAGUACUCCGCCUGGGGACUACGGCCGCAAGGCUAAAACUCAAAGGAAUUGACGGGGGCCCCGCACAAGCAGCGGAGCGUGUGGUUUAAUUCGAUGAUACGCGAAGAACCUCACCCAGGUUUGACAUGCACGUGGUACUGAGGUGAAAGCCGAGGGACCCUUCGGGGAGCGUGCACAGGUGUUGCACGGCCGUCGU